AACGAACGCUGGCGGCAUGCCUAACACAUGCAAGUCGAACGAGACCUUCGGGUCUAGUGGCGCACGGGUGCGUAACGCGUGGGAACCUGCCCUUAGGUUCGGAAUAACUCCCCGAAAGGGGUGCUAAUACCGGAUAAUGUCUUCGGACCAAAGAUUUAUCGCCUUUGGAUGGGCCCGCGUUGGAUUAGCUAGUUGGUAGGGUAAAAGCCUACCAAGGCGACGAUCCAUAGCUGGUCUGAGAGGAUGAUCAGUCACACUGGGACUGAGACACGGCCCAGACUCCUACGGGAGGCAGCAGUGGGGAAUAUUGGACGAUGGGCGAAAGCCUGAUCCAGCAAUGCCGCGUGAGUGAUGAAGGCCUUAGGGUUGUAAAGCUCUUUUACCCGGGAUGAUAAUGACAGUACCGGGAGAAUAAGCUCCGGCUAACUCCGUG
rnacentral:rRNA from 1 species